rnacentral:tRNA from 1 species
AAUCCGUCGACUUUCGAAAUCGUGAGGG